AUUGAACGCUGGCGGCAUGCCUAACACAUGCAAGUCGAACGAGUGGCGGACGGGUGAGUAAUGUCUGGGAAACUGCCCGAUGGAGGGGGAUAACUACUGGAAACGGUAGCUAAUACCGCAUACCAUCGGAUGUGCCCAGUUGGGAUUAGCUAGUAGGUGGGGUAACGGCGCACCUAGGCGACGAUCCCUAGCUGGUCUGAGAGGAUGACCGGCCACACUGGAACGGGGACACGGACCAGACUCCUACGGUAGGCAGCAGUGGGGAAUGUUGGACAGUGGGGGCAAGCCUGAUGCAGCCAGGCGGCGUGUGUGAAGAAGGCCUUCGGGUUGUAAAGUACGUUCAGCGAGGAGGCGUUACUCGCAGAAGAAGCAUCGGCUAACUCCGUGCCAGCAGCCGCGGUAAUAC
rnacentral:rRNA from 1 species